rnacentral:rRNA from 1 species
ACGCUGGCGGCACGCCUAACACAUGCAAGUCGAACGAAGUAGCAAUACUUAGUGGCAGACGGGUGAGUAACAUGUAGGUAUCUGCCCUUUGGCCUGGAAUAACACGAGGAAACUUGUGCUAAUACCGGAUAAGUCUUUACGGAGAAAGCUUUAUGCACCAUUGGAUGAGCCUGCACUUGAUUAGUUUGUUGGUGGGGUAAUGGCCUACCAAGACUGUGAUCAAUAGCUGAUUUGAGAGGAUGAUCAGCCACAUUGGGACUGAGACACGGCCCAAACUCCUACGGGAGGCAGCAGUGGGGAAUCUUGCACAAUGGAGGAAACUCUGAUGCAGCGAUGCCGCGUGAGUGAAGAAGGCCCUUGGGUUGUAAAGCUCUUUCGUCGGGGAAGAAAAUGACUGUACCCGAAUAAGAAGGUCCGGCUAACUUCGUGCCAGCAGCCGCGGUAAUACGAAGGGACCUAGCGUAGUUCGGAAUUACUGGGCUUAAAGAGUUCGUAGGUGGUUGAAAAAGUUAGUGGUGAAAUCCCAGAGCUUAACUCUGGAACUGCCAUUAAAACUUUUCAGCUAGAGUAUGAUAGAGGAAAGCAGAAUUUCUAGUGUAGAGGUGAAAUUCGUAGAUAUUAGAAAGAAUACCAAUUGCGAAGGCAGCUUUCUGGAUCAUUACUGACACUGAGGAACGAAAGCAUGGGUAGCGAAGAGGAUUAGAUACCCUCGUAGUCCAUGCCGUAAACGAUGUGUGUUAGACGUUGGAAAUUUAUUUUCAGUGUCGCAGGGAAACCGAUAAACACACCGCCUGGGGAGUACGACCGCAAGGUUAAAACUCAAAUGAAUUGACGGGGACCCGCACAAGUAGUGGAGCAUGUGGUUUAAUUCGAAGAUACGCGCAGAACCUUACCAACACUUGACAUGUUCGUCGCGACUCUAAGAGAUUAGAGUUUUCGGUUCGGCCGGACGAAACACAGGUGCUGCAUGGCUGUCGUCAGCUCGUGUCGUGAGAUGUUGGGUUAAGUCCCGCAACGAGCGCAACCCUCACUUUUAGUUGCCAUCAUUAAGUUGGGCACUCUGAAAGAACUGCCAGUGAUAAGCUGGAGGAAGGUGGGGAUGACGUCAAGUCCUCAUGGCCCUUACGUGUUGGGCUACACACGUGCUACAAUGGUAUCUACAACAGGAAGCAAGACUGCGAAGUUAAGCAAAUCCCGAAAAGAUACCUCAGUUCGGAUUGCACUCUGCAACUCGAGUGCAUGAAGCUGGAAUUACUAGUAAUCGUGGAUCAGCGUGCCACGGUGAAUGCGUUCCCGGGUCUUGUACUCACCGC